rnacentral:rRNA from 1 species
UCGAGGGGUAAGGUCCGCUUCGGCGGGUACACGACCGGCGCACGGGUGAGUAACGCGUAUGUAACCUACCCAUCAGCGGGGGAUAGCCCAGAGAAAUCUGGAUUAACCCCUCAUGAUAUCAUUUUGUGGCAUCACGUAAUGAUCAAAACUCUGGUGCUGAUGGAUGGGCAUGCGUGUCAUUAGCUAGUUGGUGAGGUAAGAGCUCACCAAGGUAACGAUGGCUAGGGGGUCUGAGAGGAUGGUCCCCCACACUGGUACUGAGACACGGACCAGACUCCUACGGGAGGCAGCAGUGAGGAAUAUUGCGCAAUGGGCGAAAGCCUGACGCAGCCAUCCCGCGUGCAGGAUUGACGGCCCUAAGGGUUGUAAACUGCUUUUCUGCAAGAAGAAGGAUAGCUACUUGUAGUUAUUUGCCGGUAUUGCAGGAAAAAGCAUCGGCUAACUCCGUGCCAGCAGCCGCGGUAAUACGGAGGAUGCGAGCGUUAUCCGGAAUCACUGGGUUUAAAGGGUGCGCAGGCGGAAUAAUAAGUCAGGGGUGAAAAUUCUCAGCUUAACUGAGGACUUGCCUUUGAUACUGUUAUUCUUGAGUGCAGUUGAAGUGGGCGGAAUAUAGCAUGUAGCGGUGAAAUGCAUAGAUAUGCUAUAGAACACCAAUUGCGAAGGCAGCUCACUAAACUGUAACUGACGCUGAGGCACGAAAGCUUGGAUAGCAAACAGGAUUAGAUACC